UCUUCACCAUAUAACCUACACACAACCUCACAUUUCUAUUAAGAGAGAAUGCAAAAAUGCACACACACACCACUGCCAUAUACAAGUCAUCACUCUCAUAUACUACACCUCACUGAUCCAUUAGACAACACACAUACCAGGCCACCACUGGACCUCACAAGACAAUAUACAAUACGCACAAAGCAAAAGGAGAGAUUGGAAUACCACACCCACAAUUCACUCAGGGGGGACUCCACUUUUAUUUCCCUUUUAUUCUUUUUGGGAUACCACACACAGAUCAUAAUACAAUUCAUACGCAUAGAAUUAGGGGAAAUCAGUGAAAGUGAGAAGAAAGACAGUGAAGAAAUGGGCAAAAAUAGUAGAAACUAGAGAGAGGUCAACGGAGAAGAGAGGUGACAGGUGGGGAUUGACUAUUUUUGGUGAUUCUUCAUCGAAAUAUCAUCUCCGAGCGAACCCAGCAAUAACCAACCAAAUCCGUUAGCUAUUUAGCGAUUCCGGUGAUAACCCGCCGAAAGUAGCUAUAGUUCAAAUCCUAAACAGAAAAUCCCCGUCAACACCGAUUGACCACAACCACCUCGCUCAAAACCACCCCGCCGUAAAACAACCACACGCGCACAGACAAAAAACGCAAGGGAGGAUAAUAGAAGAAAGAAAAGGGUGGUCGCUGUUGGGUUUCGAUGUCGAGUUCGAAGAGGUUUUUCAGUUGAGGUCGUUCGUUGAGGUUCUCGAUUCCGGUUACCGACUCUUCGUCAAUUUCAUAUUUCUCAACUCUGGAUUUGGGUCAUUGCGUGAAUGUCAGAAUCACAUUUUUAUUCUGUUCUGGUUCGUGAAUUGAAAUUGAAAGCCACAUUAAGGUCCAUUUCUUAUCUCAUGCUCCACUAAUAUUUAUGUUUUUGGUACUUUGUGGGUUGAAUUUGUGGUGUUUGAACUUUAUUUUAGUUGAUAUUAAUUGAUUGAUCGAUUGGAUGAAUUAGUUAAUUAAAUGAAUCGGGCUCAAUUUAAGGUGAAUAUUGAUUUUGGGACGGUAUUGAAAAUUGUCUGGUUGGAAAUUUCAUUUGGUUUAUUUAGAUUGUUAAUUUUGAUUCAUUGAUGAUGUUAACAUGAUAGUAUUAUGAUUAGGCCAAAGCGGAUAGGCAAAUUGUAGGUCGGGUAAGCAGACGGUAGGAAUUAUGAUUGUUGAAUGCUUGAAUGAUUUUAUUUUAUCGCAUUGAAAAGAUGUAUUAAUUUAGCCUGGGAAUGCCCCGAAGAUCAUUGUAUUUACUCAUCGGGGAAUUCCCUGAAGGAUUUUGUAUGCGAAAAUGCUUGUGAUCAAGGCCCGAGGCAUCGGGUAGAGCAGAGUUUAGGUUAGCAUAGAUUUAUAUUUUUGCAUUUUUUAUUUUGGGCUGUAUAAUUGGACUGGACAUUAAAUUUUGGAUUGUUUCUUUUGUUUGUUGAUUGAUUAUUUUGCAUGCUUUUUGUGUGUUUUAUACAUUUCAUAGUGCCAAAUUAGCCGAUACGCUCCACCAAGUGAUCGUGGUCAAACCACGGGACCGAGGGGUGCCUAACACCUUCACCUUGGUCAACAGAAUUCCUUAGCUGGAAUCUCUGUUCGGAAACCAGUGUUUUAGAGUCAAAAACAAUUUUGAAAAAGGAUUUCCAAAGGUGAUUUGGCAUACCGGAUUAUGACAAGUGGCGACUCUGAAUAAAAAAUAUAAAUAAUUCUUUUCGAAAUAAAUUUUCAUCUUUUGUCAUUUUAACAAUAAAAACCUUUUCGAACCUUAAAAAUAAAAUCUUUUUAGUUAAAAAAGGGGUGUGACUGCUCUGGCGACUCUGCUGGGGAUCAUUUCAGAAUUCGAGCUUAUAUUUUGGAGUUGUAGCGGCUUAGUUUGGCAUUAUGGGUGUAUAGACAUUGUUUGUGUUGUUUUGUGUUAUUGUUUUGUUUUUCAUUGUUGAAUGCCUGCGUGCUCUUUGUUUACAGUUUUUAUCUAUGUGUUACCACUUUAUAUCUGGCAUCAUGUGCAUAACCCGAGUCAGUUUUUCUACAAUAAGUCCGUAGUGCACAAUGUGUACACGACCUCUAGUUGAGUCACCCUUAUCUUAGAAGAGCGAUUCGUCAGCUGGUAUGGAGUGGGUGGAAAGCUAAAGCAGCCACUAUCGACCAUACGCUCCCUUGAACAACCUUGUUAGUGAACCCCAACGUAGGUAAGCCUUAGGUCAUGCUUAUCUGCAUCAUAUUGAGACCUAGCGGGACCCACUUGGUCCUUUGUAGGAAACUCACCUCUAAGGCAUCCCUACGUACUAAAUGUUGCAUCUUUGAGGGUAACGAGGUCAUUUGACAAACUGAUUUGGGCCAAAGCAUGAGUUAGAAGCAAAAUGUGUAGGCAAGAAAUUGUUGAAAAAAGGGAAGAAAAAAAAAGACAGAAAAAAAAGAGAUUUGAUAUUUUUUAGGGUUAUUUAUGACUUUUUUUUUUCACAAUUUACAAAAAAAAUAUUUUUUUACUUUUUGCACUCAUUUCCCCAAAAAUUAAAAACGUUAAAAAAUUUUCUUUUAUUUCUUUAGUAAGUAUUCACAAUUCGAAAAAUCCAAAAAAAUAUUUUAUUCCUUUUAAUAGGAGCUUUGUACAUUUUUAUAUAAUGAAAAUAUCAAAAAGAUUUUUUCUUUCAUAGUUGUUGGUGUUAGUUUCUAAUUAAAAACCCAAAAAAGAUUUUAUUCGUCUGUCUUUAGUCGUGUCUCUUAAUUCAGAGUUUAGUUUGUCAUUUAAUCCUUACUUGUCCAAUCUGGACGAACUACGCACCCCUGAUUUUCCUCUCCCGGAAGUGAGAUACGUAGGCAGCCUAUUGUGGGUCGGGGAUCUUAUUUGAAAAAAAAAAAAAGAUUUUCUCCACUCUUUAUUAGAGUAGGUGUUUCAUAUACAUCUUUAAAAGAAAACUACAAAAAAGAUUUUUCCUUUAAUAGAUUCAAGUUUCAUUUUCAUAUGAAAUUCAAAAUAAAAAAUUCAAAAAGAUUUUUCUUUGGUAAUCAUAUGUUUAAUUUUGUAUAGGGAGUUUAAACUUGAAAAAUGCAAAAAAAUAUUUCAUCAAUUCUUUUGACAAUUUGUUAUUUCCUUUUCUUUUUAAAGUUUCAAGAAAAAGAAAAAAAAAUUAAUUGGCCAUUUUGGCAAGACUUCACGAACUACGCACACCUGAUUCUCCUCUUUCGGGGUGAGAUACGUAGGCGCCCCUCUUGGGUUCGGUGACCUUUUAAAAAAGAAACAAAAAAAGGUUUUGAAAAAAAAAAUGUUGAAUUUUAACGCAUUUGCUAUCUCUUGUUCAGUUAGUUUAAGGUGGUUGGUUUGUGGCAUUUUGGCUGUUCCUCCAUAUUGCACCAAGUCACAGAGAAAGUUAUGGCCAACAAAGAUAUCGAGUUUGUUGUCACUGAUCAGAUAGGGAGUUCGGGCAAUGAGAAUUUAGGAGCUAAUGAAGAGAUUCGAAAAUUAAGGCAACAAAUGAUAGAAAUGCAUUUCCUGCUGGUAAUCUGGAAUAUCUUUCUAGCUUGCCUCCAGUGUCACAUACACAGUUUCUUAUUUCUUUUGACACACCACAACAUGCAUCAAGACCUGCUUUGGGGCAACACUAUCCAAACACUUCCAAUAUUCAUUUCCUCACUCCUUAACACAAAGCUACCACAUGCUCGGCUCCACCCACUGUUCAUGUUUUUGCAGCACCACCCCUACCCGAAGCUCCUACUUUUGAGGUUUAUCCAUAAGUUUGCCUCCCCACUCUGCGAGAGAGCCUUUAUUGAAUAUUUCUUCUUAUCAAUAUGAUGCUAUUAAGCCCACAUUUAAGUCGACUAAUCCUUAUGGCUAUACUCACCCGCCUGAAUUUCCUCUUAACAUUGAGAAGCCUGUUAUAACAGAAAAACAAAAGAAAAUGACCAGAAAAUUAAGAAGUUUGGAACUGGCUUGAAAGACCUCCAGGGACUUGGGGGUACAAAAGUGUCUCAUAUAAAGAUCUGUCUAUGUUUCUAGGGGUUCAUCUUCCUUUUGAUUUUAAAAUGCCAAAGUUUGAGAAGUAUGAUGGACAUGGCAAUCCUGUUGCACAUUUGAGACAUUAUUGCAACCAACUAAGGGGCACUGGGGGGAAGAAAUAAUUACUCAUGGCAUAUUUUGGUGAGAGUCUUUCAGGCCUAGCUUCAGAAUGGUUUGUUGACCAAGACAUCGACAAGUGGAUUAGUUGGGAUGACCUAGCUAAUGAAUUUGUGUAAUAAUUCCAAUACAAUGUGGAUUUGAUUCCUGAUGAGAAAUACCUAACUAACAUGAAGAAAAAGAGUACUGAGACUUUCAGAGAGUAUGCGAUUAGAUGGCGUGAACAAGCUGCUAGGGUGAAACCGUCAAUGAAAGAAAGUAAGAUAGUGGAGGUAUUUAGUCAAGCGCAGGAUGAAACAUAUUAUCAACACUUGUUACCUGCAUUAGGCAAGCCAUUUAUUAAGGUACUCAAAAUGGGGGAGAUGAUAGAAGAUGGAAUUAAAACCGGCCGCAUUGUGAGUUUUGCAACAUUGAAAGCGACUACUCAAGCAAUUCAAAAAGUUUUGGGAAGUGUCGGAGGGAAGGAGUAUAAGGAAGAUGCAUCUGCCAUUGUAGUUGGACAACAGGACCAUACUAUUAUUACCCACAAGCUCAAACCCAAGUUUAUGCCCAAACUCCACAAAAUCUUUCCCAAAAUCCAUUAUAUUCCAUUCCCCCACCUCCAUAUCAAGUGUAUAAUGCACAACCAUAUGUUCAACCUCCAUCUUACCCACACUGGCGUGUGCCAACUCUGUCGAGUCAUCCUCUAACUCCACAUACAUACCGAAGCCCUUCUAGGCCUGGUUUUCAAUUUAAGCCAAACGAUGAAAUAUAAUUUCGAUAGUCAAUUAAUUUUUUUAUGUUGACAUAUUAUUUUAUGUCUCUUUUACCUUUUUUUUUAUGAAAUAUUAUCAUUUUUUCAAUGCUUAGACGAUCAUAAUAAUUAAUUAGUGGUGAUAUAGUAAAACCACGGUAAAAGCAGUGAAACACACAUGUCUUAAGUGACUUGUAAUAACUAAUUAGAAGCGACAUAGCAAAAUUAUUAUAAAAAAUAUUUGUAUAAUAAUUAAUUAACGAUAGUACACUAAAAUUACGAUUGAAACAAUUGAAACAAUCAUAAAUGUCUAUUUUAUUUUUUUUCUAAUUAAAUAUUAUUAAUUUUUUAAUAUGUAAAUAACUUAUAAAAUCUAAUUUGGAAUACAAUAAUUAAUUAGGGAUGGUAUAGUAAAAUUACAUUGAAGAAGCUGAAGCAGACAUAUCAUAAAUGUCUAUUUUAAUUUUUUAUUAAAUAUUAUUAAUUUUCUAAUACAUAAAUAAUUUAUAAUAAUUAAUUAGGGGUGAUAUAAUAAAAUUGCAGUUCAAUUAGCUGAAGCAGACAUGUCAACCUCGUGCUUGCUUUGUUGAUACAGUAAAAUUAUGAUUGAAGCAGCUGAACCAGUCAUAAAUGUCUAUUUUACCUUUUUAUCUAAUUAAAUAUUAUUAAAUUUUGAAUACAUAGAUAACUUAUAAUAUUUAAUUAGGGAUACAAUAAUUAAUUAGGGGUGAUAUAGUAAAAUUACGGUUGAAGCUCAGAAGCAGACAUGUCAUAAAUGUCUAUUUUAAAUUUUUUAUUAAAUAUUAUUAAUUUUCUAAUAUAUAAAUAACUUAUAAUAAUUAAUUAGGGAUGAUAUAGUAAAAUUAUAGUUGAAGCAGCUGAAACAGGCAUGUCGACCUCCUGCCUACUUAUCUCGCUCUUAUAAUAUAAGAGAACUAGAUACCGAGGGCCCGUGCAAUAUAAAUUAUUAUUUUGCUUCAAUUUAUGUGACACGAAUAAAAUUUAGAUAAUUAAUUACAUUUUUAAUAUGUUUUUAGAUAUUUUAAGUUGUUAACUAUUGUAAUUUUUAGUACUUUUUUUACGUAAUUUUCAAAAAAUAUAUGCUACUCUCCUUGUGCAAUCUUUUGUGGCAUUGAUAGUCAAUUAUAUUUUAAAAAUAAUUUAAUUUUUAAAUUAUUGUGAUUUAUAAUAAUUUUUCGUCCAUUCUACUAAUUAGAAGUGACAUACUAAAAUUAUCAUUUUAUAUCUAUUUUUUACUAUGUAUUAUUAAUCUUUUAAAUACUUGGAUGACUUAUAAUAAUUAAUUAUGGGUGAUAUAGUAAAAUCACGAUUGAAACAGUUAAAACAAACAUGCUAAAAAUAUUUAUUUUACUUGUUGUAUUAAAUAUUAUUAAUUUUCUAAUAUGUAGAUGAUUUAUAAUAAUUGGUUAGCGGCGAUACAGUAAAAUUACUAUUGAAGUAGCUGAAACAGGCAUGUUGAUCUGCUACCUGCUUCAGCUGAUGAACUGCCUUUAUCAAAAUUACUUUAAAGAACUAUCUGUGAAAAAAUUUAAGAAGGUCUCAUAUAAGUCGUCAAGUUAAUUUAAAACAUCAAGAGUUAAUUUUUAGUUUGUGUCUAUUUUACCUUUCUAUUAAAUAUUAUUAAUUUUUUAAUGCUUAGAUGAUUUAUAAUAAUUAAUUAAGGGUGAUAUAGUAAAAUUAUGGUUAAAGCAGCUGAAGCAAACAUGUCAUAAAUAUCUAUUUUAUUUUUUCUAAUUAAAUAUUAUUAAUUUUUUACUAUGUAAAUGGCUUAUAAUAUUUAUUCAUGAAUAUAAUAUUAAUUAGGUGUGCUAUAGUAAAAUUACGAUUGAAGCAGCUGAAACAAACACGUCAUAAAUAUUUAUUUUAUUUUUAUUAAAUAUUAUUAAUAUUCUAAUACAUAAACAACUUAUAAUAAUUAAUUAUGGGUGAUAUCGUAAAUUUACAAUUGAAGCAGCUGAAGCAGGCAUGUCGACCUUUUGCCUGCUUCAACUGCUAAACGACCUUUUAUAAAUAAGAGAAAAGAUAAGAGAUUUUACUUAUUUGUAUUAAAUAUUAUUAAUUUUUUAAUACGUAAAUAACUUAUAAUAAUUAAUUAGGGGUGAUGCAAUAAAAAUACGAUUUAAGUAGCUGAAGCAGGCAUGUCGACCUGCUGCCAGCUUCACUGCUUCUUAUAAAUAAGAGAAUAUAUUUUGGCACUAUAUAUACAUUUCUUAUCCUUUUUCUUUUGGGUAUCCAUCAGUGGCGGAGCUAGAAUUUUCACCAAAGGGGUUCACAAGUGAACAUACGAACUAAUCGAAGGGGGUUCGACAUUUACUAUAUAUACAUAAAAAAUAAUUUUAAUCAUAUUUAUUUAAUAUAAUUUUUCAUCAAAGGGGGUUCGGAUGAACCCCUAAAUUAAGCAUAGCUCCGCCCCUUGUAUCCAUCUUUCACUGUUUUGUACUGCUCUUUCGUGCAUUUUUUAUCAUCAAUAAACAUAUUUGCUGACAAAGAUAUGUGUGAUUUGAUUUUCUAGUAGUCUUAUUUAGUAAAAUUUUUUUUUUCGUAUUUUGUAUUAAUUUUUUGAUCUCACCUAUGAGAUUAUACUAAAUUUAUUUUUAUUUUUAUCAUAUAACAAUUUAACUUCUAAGUAGGAGCACAACAUGUGCGAUAUUAACUUACUUUUUUACGGUUAUUAUUCAUAAUGUAUUAAUUUUUGUGUUGAAAUGAAGACAAAAAAUGUCAAUGAAGCAUUGAGGAGAAGAACAAAGGGACCACUUGACAUGAAUAUAUUUUUUGAAAUAUAUUUUUCUGUUUUCUCUAAAUAGUUUAAAUUUCUACACUAUUUGUUUACUUUUCUUUGUCGCUAUACUAUAAAUAAAUUAAGAGAUAGUUUAUAAUUUAUUUUUAAAUUUAUCUUUAUUGUUAAUUUUAAUUAUUUUCAAAAUAUUAAAUUCAUUGUAUUCAAAGGACAAUAAAAAUAUAUAAUAAAAUUAUCAUUCAAUUUAUUGCUUCUUAGAAGAUAUGUCAAGUCAAUAUUAGACAAACAAAAAUAAAUGGAGAAAGUAUUCUUUAAAUUUGACUUGCGAAAGAAAACAACAUUUGAUGUCGUCUCUUUCACCCCAUGUAAGGUAUCUAAUUUUCUUAUUAUUUGAAUAUUUUGAUGUUUUGAUUUGUUAAUUUGUGAUUUUAGGAACAAGAGAGUUAGGGCUUUGGGUGAAGUCAGUCAAUUAACUCAUUCUCUUAGAUUACAUUUUAGAAAUAUUAAAAAAAUUGUGUGAAGAGUUAGAAAGAAUUAUUUCAUGUACCUAAUAAGAUAGUUAGAAUAGCGCGAAACGCGGACCAUUUCAAUAUUAUUGUUAUAAAUUAAUCUCUAUAAAUGAAUGAUCUUUAGGGAGUAGUUGGUAUUUAGAAACUAAAAAGGCAAAAUAUCUAUUGAUCCUUGUAGUUGUCCGAGUUUGUGACGUGAACAUUUCUACUUAGUCUUUUAUCACCUGAAUUUUAAACUCAACAAAUCAUAAUAUUUUAAACUAAUCUGAUCAUUGACUAAGCCUAGGUGAAAACUUAACGGAUGAAUUGAAAAAAAUGCAUAAUUUUGCGUAGGUUGAACGCAUAUACAUAUAAUUUUUAAUUAAAAAUAACAAAAAUUAAUAAAUAAAUAAAUAGAAUUUCUUUCUUUCUUUGCACCACCCACGGUACUCCCAGUCUCCCACCCCUUUAUUUUCCCCAUUUUUACCACCAACACCAUACCCCUUGCCCUCCAUUUUCCUGCUAUUACCCCUCCAUCACCCACCUGGACAUCUUCCCCCUCACCACUAAAUAUUGAUAGAUAUUUUAAAAAUAAUUAAUUAAGCGUUUUAAAAUUACUUUGUGACAAAAAAAAAUAUGAAAUCCACCUGUCCACUUAGCAAAUUCAUGCCCAAGUAUUUUACUUGAUGACAAAGAAAAUAAAAGAAAAAAAGGUGUGUAUAUUCUGCCCAAAGAAAUACUUUGAUUUUCAUUACUAUUAUCGCUCUACAUUGCUAUUAAUAGCCAAUACCUUUUAUUCUAUUAUCGCUCACAGUUAGAAUCGCUAGACACAUGGGCUUAUUAUAAGUAUGUAUUAGUAUUCUGAUGGGCCCUUUGUUCGGCUAAAGAUUCCAUACAGUCAUUUAGCUAUUUGAAAAUUCUUUUAUAUUUUGGUUGGUGCUUUGGUUCGAUUUUCUGACUAUGCUUUCCUAUAUUAAUUAAGAGGUCUGGACGGCUGAGCGGCUUACCCCAGCCUGAUAGGUCCUAUCAAAUUGGUAUCAGAGCCUAGGAACUUUCAUAGUAAUUAUAUAGUAGAUCUGAAGUCUAUGACAUAGAUAUGAAGUUUUAUAUAAAUGGAUAUGGGAGAAGUUAGUACGAAAAGUACUAAACUAGAAGAGGUAGGACUUAUUAAAUAAAUGAACUAUUCCACAAGUAGAUAUAAAAAUCAUUUAUGAUUAUGGCUUUCUUGAUAGAUUUAAAUAUAAGCAGAUAAUAAAAACCACUGAACAAUCUAUUGCUCUGAAUGCUGACGAACAAACCAUAAAAUUAUUGAAUAAAAAAGAUAUUGAUAUAUUUAAAAAUCAUUAUAAUUUUAUGCAUAUUGGUUUAGUGCAAAUUUCUUUUAAACCGCUAACCUUAAAAGGUCUUCCAAAGACAUUUCUAGUUGCAUUACGUGAUGCUAAAAAUUUAAAUUUCAAACAAUCUCUGAUGGAAUCUAUAGAAUCUACUCUUGCAUAUGGCCCUGUAUAUUUUAACACUCAGCCAAAUUUACAACUAUCUUUGACUGAUAUGCAUAUUCUCGAUGCUUUAAUUUUAAAUGUGAAAACUCAUGGCUAAAAUUAUGCGCCUGGAUCUGAACUUAUAUGUUUGUCUUAUUAUAUUUAUUAUCGUUUAUUAUCUACUUUAAAUCCUCGAUGUAAGUUAAUCAAAGAUGCUUCUAAUUCUACUAUGCUUAUCGAAACCAAUUUUGCAAAAUCCAAGGUCACUACAAGGAGACUUAUUAGAUGGGAUGAGAUUAAUUUCCCAAAAACUUGGGUUUUAAAUUCAGUCAUUUCUCCAAAAAAACUUUCGGAGGAUGUGACAAAUUCAGAGUUAGCUCAUGUAACUCAAAAUACAGACGACAGAAUUUGUCUCCAAUUUAACGAUAAUUCUACCGUUUAUAAUCGAAAUUCCUUUUCUAUACCAAGAAUGUUACAUGCUAUGCAUCAUAUCUCACCAGUUGAACCAGUAUAUGGUCCUUCUAGAAGUCGUGCUGCAUCUUUGCAUACUAUAAAUUCUGCAGAUUCACAUACUCUAUUUAAAAAUAUUGAAAAAAUUAAAAUCAAUCCUAAAACAAAUAUAGUUCAAGAUAAUGAUAAUAUCCCAGAUAGGGAUAAUCCCACUCCCUCUGAAAUGGAGUUUGAUGUCAAUUCUUGUUAAUCAUGAUUCCACAUCUAAUUAUUUUAGUCCUGGUUCACCAGCCAGAAAUUAUAUUAAAAUAGAUUUUUUUCUGAAAAAUGGAAAACGUUUAGGACAUGAUUUUUUGAAACCUAUAGUUCUGAUGAAUUAAAAAAAAUUUCUGAAGAAUUUUAUGAAAUUUGUCCAUUGCAUAAUCAAAUUGUUUACUUUGUGCCAUGGUAUAUGUCUGCGUAUUUGCCUUUAUAUGAAAAAAUUAUUGAAAGGUCAUAUCAAAAUGCCGAUGGUACUGUAACUCAGACUAUUUAUCCCCCUCAAUAAUCUUUCAUAUUAUCCAAUAAUACUGGUAUAACCUUCUCUGCUUUUCAAAAAUUCGUUGAUAAUGAAGUUGGAAAAAUCACUAUUUCUGAAAUAAAUAGUUUAAUUACUCAAAAUAAUUAUUUAAGCCUUUAUGUGAAAGUUCUUGGAGAACAUAUUUCCUCUCUUGAUAAAAAGCUAGAUAUCAUGACUGAUUUGAUUAAGAAGCUAAGCGAUAGUCAAAAGUUAUCUGAUAUUGCUUCUACCUUAGAAAGCAAAAUAGAAGAUUUGACAGCUAAGCCUCAUAUUCAAAGACCUCCUGAUAUUCAAGGAUUUCGAAAACCCACUGAUUUAGAACAACUUGAAAAACUUCUUGAAAAGAAAUUUUCUAGUUUAAAUAUAAAACCCAUGGAUCUGUCUAAUAGUUUUGCUGAUUCUAUUCAAUCUAUUUCCAGUAAUUUUGAGGAUAUACAAUCCACUCCAAUCUCUAAGAUAGGAGCAGAAAUUCACUCAGAGUUAAAUAAACUCAGAGGAAUGGUGAGAAAACAAUCGGGGACAAAAUAUGCUGAUAUUCCCCAUAUGCAAACUGCCUAUUAUCCAAGACCAAAUCCUCAAGAUGUUCUGGUAGAAGAAAGAGAUUGGUUUUUAACAAACACGUUUUAUAGUGGAGAACAUAUAUAGGAAUGGAACUUAGAUGGAUUAACUGAAAGACAUUUAUCUAUUUUAGUCUAUUAAAUGUUAAUGUAUUCUAUUAUUGCAAAAGUAUCUAGUCCUAAAGAUGACGAUGGUGAGCCUGUUAGGACGGAUGCUACUAUAUGUAAAAUGAUUGUUGCAGGUUUUACUAGCCAACUUCGUGGCUGGUGGGACUAUUUCCUUUCAAAUGAAGAAAGAAACAAAAUUUUUGAAGCCAAAAAUCUGUUGCUUGGUGUUGAUAACCUAGGUAGAAAAUUGCCAGCGGGUAUAGAAGACGCUGUUUACAUCCUUAUGCUUACUAUUAUUCAACACUUUGGAGGUAGAUUUACCAAUCAAUAUGAAAAUACUCGCACCUUCUUAAAUGGUCUUAGAUAUCGAUAUUUAGGGAAAUUUAGAUGGUAUAAAGAUACUUUCCUUGCUAGGGAUAUGGAUUUACCCGAAUCUAGAUUAGAACACUGGAAAGUAAGAUUCGUAGAUGGACUUCCUCCUCUGUUUGCUGAAAGGGUAAGAAAAUCUAUUAAAGGACAAUAUGGUGCAAUUCCUUGGACAGAUUUUACUUAUGGCUAGCUUCUAGUAGCUUGUACCAAAGAAGGACUAAAAAUUUAUAAUGAGUUGAAACUGUCUAGACAAAUUAAGAUAGAUAGGAUCAAAGAAAGAACCCAACAAGGAGACUUUUGUGGUCAAUUUGGAAUGGAAAAUCCUAUCUCUAGCAAAAGAGGCCAUAGAACUAGUAACCCAGAAAAACCUCAUAGAAAAAGAAGGUAUAGAAACAAAUCUAAAGAAGAGUGUGAAGCCAGAAAAUCCCAUCUUAUGUCGACUAGAUUUACGAAAAAUAGGUCCAAAAGUGAUCUAGCAAAAAUCAAGUGUUAUAAGUGUAAGCAAUUUGGUCAUAUUGCUCCAAAUUGUAAGCUCCAAAAACUUAAGUCUCUAGAACUCUCUGAAGACAUGCAUGAUAAAAUUUAUGAUUUAUUAUAUACUUCAGGUUCUGAGUCUAAUUAUGAAUAUGAAUCUGAGAAUAUUAUUGAAUUACCUGAUUCCACGGAUAGUGAGAAUUAUGAAAAAACCUGAGGCUAAUGCCUGCACAGAUUUCUCUAACAAUGUUUUUGAUUGUAAAAAUAUUUUUUAUAAAUUACAAUCCCCGUUUGAAGAUUUAGAUUUAAACGUUCAAACAAUUACUGCUAAUAGUGCUUUAGAACUAUUGAAAGAAGUUAUUGAUGAAAAACUUCGCCAAAAAAAUAUUGAUCUUGCUUCCUCACAACCUAGCACUUUAAAGCCUGCUAAUAAUAAAGUUAUUAAGUAAAAAUAAAAAAAUUCUGAUUCUGUUAUUGAUAUGAUGCCCUAUUCUCUAACUGAAGUUAAUAGACUUCUUGGCAUUAGUCAAACUCCUGGUACAUAUACGUCUUUUAACGAUUUAAAAAUAGAAGUUGAAAACCUGAAAAAAGAGAUUAUUUUUUUAAGACAAAAUCAAAUAAUUUUAGAUCAUAGAAUUUCGAAAAUUGAAAAAAAUAUUUUCUAAAAUGACAUUGUUUCCAAUUUUAAAGGAAAAGAAAAGGUUGCUGAAAAUUCUGAAAAUUAUAUUGUUCGUGAUAUGGAUGUAAAAAAUGAUUAUUUUUUGUGUAUGAUGCAAAUAGUUAAUGCCCAUAAAUGGUAUAUAAAUUGUACUAUAUUGAUUAAUAACGAAUUUUCUGUAACUAAUGUGGCUAUGAUUGAUAGUGGUGCUGAUGUUAGCUGCAUUCAAGAAGGAUUAAUUCCAACCAGAUAUUUAAAAAAAAAAUGCAUAUUGUUAGAUCUGCCUCUGGUCAUUCCCUGGAUAUUAACUAUAAAUUGCCGCAUGCGUAUAUUUGUAGAAAUAAGGUUUGCAUUCCACAUUUCUUUUUUCUAGUCAAAAAUCAAUUAUAUCCCCCUAUUAUUUUAGGAACACCUUUUAUAAAUGCUAUUUAUCCCUACACACAUAUUGAAGCUAAAGGCUUCAAAGCCACCUAUAAAAAUCAAGAAAUUUCUUAUCCUUUUGUUACAGAUCCAGUAACACGAGACAUAAAUGCUUUGAUUGAUAUGAAGCAAAAACAUGUGAAUCUUUUAUAGCUUGAAAUGAUGAGUACUAAUAUUUAUAAUACAAUGAAUUCUGCAAAAAUUUAGGAAAAAAUCAAAUUGGCAUCUACUCAACUGAUUGUUGAUAUUUGUGCUGGUCACCCAAAUGCUCUUUGGACUCGCAAAGAGCAUAUUGUUUCUCUUCCUUAUGAAGAUGAUUUCAGAGAAGAUCAUAUUCUGACAAAAUUCAAAUCCUGUAAAAUGAAUACAGAGUUAGUAGGAUUCUGUAAAAAAGAGAUAGAAGGUCUCCUACAAAAGGGUCUCAUAAAACCCUCAAAAUCCCCUUAGUCUUGUACUGCUUUAUUUGUCAAUAAUGCUGCUGAAAAAGAACGAGGUACGCCAAGAUUAGUAAUUAAUUAUAAACCUCUGAAUAAAGUUUUAAAAUGGAUUAGGUAUCCAAUACCUAAUAAAAAAGACUUACUAUCUAGAUUAUAUGAUGCCAAUAUAUUUUCAAAAUUUGAUCAAAAAUCUGGUUAUUGGCAAAUUCAAAUUGAUAAAAGGCAUACUUAUAAAACUGCCAUUAAUGUCCCUUUUGGACAAAUUGAUUUAAAAAAUGCUCCUUCUGAAUUUCAAAAAAUCAUGAAUGAUAUAUUUAAUGCCGAUAUGGAUUUUAUAAUUGUAUAUAUUGAUGAUAUCCUUGUGUUUUCAGAAACAAUAGAAUUACAUUCUAAACAUCUGAAUAUUUUCAAACAAAUUGUGAUACAAAAUGGUUUGGUUAUUUCUAAACCAAAAAUGUGUUUGUUCCAAACAAAUGUUCGAUUUUUAGGACAUAAUAUUUGUAAAGGAACAAUUGAGCCUAUACAAUGAGCUAUGGACUUUGCUGAAAAAAUUUCUGAUAUUAUUACUGAUAACUCAGUUGCAGCGAUUUCUAGGAAGUCUUAACUAUAUUUCUCCCUUUUAUUAGAAUCUAUCUAAAGAUUUAGAUCCUUUAUAUGAUAGGUUAAAAAAAUAUCACAAAAAGCGUUGGACUCAAGUCCACACCGAUCUGCUAAGAUUAAUAAAAAAAUGUGUUGCGACUCUGCCUUGUUUAACCUUAGCUAAUCCAGCUUGGUUAAAAAUAGUUAAAACUGAUGCUUUAAAUAUUGGUUAUGGAGGAAUACUUAAACAAAUUAAUCCCUAUAAUAAUGUUGAAUGUUUGGUUAGAUUUCAUUCUGGAAAAUGGUCUGAAAGUCAGGAAAAAUACGCCACUGUGGCCCAUGAAAUGUUAACUAUUGUUAAAUAUGUUUUAUAAUUCCAAGAUGAUUUAUAUAAUCAAAAAUUAAUAGUUCGAACAGAUGCUCAAUCUGUUUAGUACAUGUUCGUCAAAGAUUUUAAACAUGAUGCCUCUAAAUUGAUAUUUGUAAGAUGGCAAGCCCAGCUAGCCCCUUUAGAUUUCAAAAUUCAAUACAAGAAAUGUAGUAAAAAUUCUUUGCCUGAUUUCCUAUCUAUGGAAUACUUAAAUAAUUAAAUGAAUUAUUACACAUACUUUUUUUCUGAAAAAACAAUAAUUACUAUUAUAAAAUGCAUUCCUCUAAAUGAAGAUAUUCAUUUUAUCAUAUUAGAAAAACUUAUCCAUAAUAUGAUAGAAGAAGAUUUAUUUCUUUCCAAUUUUGAAGAUAUACUAGAUGAAAUUGAUUGGUCUGAUAUUGACUCAUCAUUUGAUAAAUUCUAAUCUACUUAAUGCAGAAUACUCCUCUUCCAGGGGAAGAAACUCCCCCUCAUCAUCAUAUGCUUCUUCAUCAUCUAAUUUUCCAGUAUUGCAAAGGGGAAAUAUAAGUCUGAUUAAUGCAAGAAUUCUGCAAAUUGCAGAAUCAUCUUCUAAAACUCCGCAUAUGAGCACUUCAAUCCAUUUGAACGAGAUUCCAUAGGAUCAUCGUUUAUUUGAGCAACUACGAUCUUUUAUAUCUUCCAAGCAAGCCGAUUCGUUUACUUUAGUUGCCAAAGAAAACACUGCCGAUAGGCAAAAUUAUGAAAAACUUGAAAAUCGAGAGCUAAUAGUUCACGUAGAAAAUUCUCAAAUAUGUAAAAAAAAUGAUCCAUGGAAACUCCUUCAAAAAUAUUUAUUAACUGACCUCUAUUUUGCAGGAGAAUCUAACAAGACAAGAGCCUUUUAUGAAUCAAUACUAGUGGCUACUGGAAGUAUUGAAAUAGAACACCAUCAAAUGGGUGAAACAACUCCAGAUGUUCAUGGAUACUCCAAGAUGGUCAUUAAAAAACUCAUAUCAAUAGAAGAUUGGGGAACCACUUCCAUGACAAAAAAAUUCAUGACAAUGAAAGGAUAAAAAAUCGCCUUAACUUAUUGGGACUAUAUGAAAGCCUUUACCCAAACCUUAUAUUAUAACAAUAUUAAACAUAAAAAUACUUGGUUUCUAAAGUUUUUUUCUAAAGUCUUUGAAGACCCAAUUCCCAAUUGGUUUAUUCAAUGGUGGUUGUAUCAUGGCCCUAUAGUAAAAAUUCUGCUAGUAGAAUAUUUGCAUCUGUACAAAGAAUGGAUUAAAGUGUCACCAUUUCUAACAGACUUAUAUUAUUCAGAUCAUGUCUGUAAUCUAGAUAAAAUUGACCAAAUGUAUUUCUUUAUAGAAUUAUCCAUUCCAUGGAUAUAUAAAUGGAGUGUUGAAUUCAGAUACAUGAAAGAACAAAUACCCGGAUUUUAUAGGGUAUUCUACACCAAUUUUUGGGAAAAGCUAACAAGAAAUGACCCUCUCACUAAGCUCUUGCAUGGACGAGAAUUUGUCGAAUCCAUUAAUCAGAAGAUCGUCGGAUCCACCACUGCUCCACAAAAAAUAUUGUGGAAGAUAAAAACCUAAGUUACAUUUCUAGAAGAAUCUCUAUACAUGACAAAGACAGAUUAGAAAUGAUUGAAAAAUACUUAAAAGAAGUUCAAAAAAAUUUGAUGAAAACUGUGGAACAAUGUUCGGAUACUUCCAUAAAGAGUCUUACGAGUGAAGAAGCAGCUGAAUCUGAAGAUAUUCAAGAAUCCCAGCCACUUCCUCCUGAAAAUAUUCUUAAUGAUAAAGAAAUUGAAAGAGCUUAGGCCUUACUCUAUCAACUAAAAAGCAAAGGAAAAGACAAGAUAUGAUAGGUUUUCUAUGGUUGUUUUCUAUGUAUAGGACCCAUAUAUGGGACCCUUAAAUAAUAAAAAUACUAUGCGCAGGGACCUACUAGUACUGUGCAAGAUGCUUUUUAUUUCUAUAUAUAUAGACGCCUCAUCUGUUAUAAGCUAGAAAAAUUUUCUCUCUUUCAAUUUUCUCUCUCUAAGUCUCCUCUUCUUUCUUUCUUCCCUUCUUGUAUAAUAUUUCAAGUCUUUAAUAAAAGAAGGCAGCUAGCCGGCAUUUACUAUUCAGGCCUUGCAUCCGUCCAUUAUUAAGGUAUUUAUUUAUUUUCUUUUAAAGUACUUCUAAUAGUUUUUCUUUCCUUCCAGCCGUGACUAUGUCCGGAUAAAAACCUUUCAUAUCUAUGCCAGAGAUCUAACUUCUCUUACUUAGUAUUUAUGAAAGAUCUAGCCUCUAUCAAAAUAUGAAAGAAUUUUUAUAUAGUUUCUUGACUUGGUUCUGAAAUGGUUGGUACAGUCGAAAUUAGUCCUGCUUAUGAUGGCUUUGUCUUAAUGACUACAUCUAGCAAGCUAUGGUUUCUAAGCCUCCUAAAGAUAAAUAAAAGGGUGUUAUUUUCAAAGUUAGAAUCACUAGACACAUGGGCUCAUUAUAAGUAUGUAUUAGUAUUCUGACAGGCUCUUUGUUCAGGUGAAAGAUUCCAUACAGUCAUUUAGCUAUUUGAAAAUUCUCUUAUACUUCAGUUGGUGCUUUGGUUUGGUUAUCUGACUACGCUUUCUAAUAUUAAUUAAGAGGUCUGGACAGUUGAGCGGCUUACCCCAGCCUGAUAGGUCCAGUAGUUUUGGAGAAAUGACUGAAUUUAAAACCCAAGUUUUUGGGAAAUUAAUCUCAUCCCAUCUAAUAGGUAUCCUUGUAGUGACCUUGGAUUUUGCAAAAUUGAUUUUGAUAAGCAUAGUAGAAUUAGAAGCAUCUUCGAUUAAUUUACAUCUAGGAUUUAAAGUAGAUAAUAAAUGAUGAUAAAUACGAUAAGACAAACAUAUAAGUUCAGAUUCCCAAUUACCUGAAUCUAGAUUAGAAUACUGGAAAGCCAUAUUCGUAGAUGGACUUCCUCCUCUAUUUGCUGAAAGGGUUAGAAAAUCUAUUAAAGGACAAUAUGGUGCAAUUUCUUGGACGGAUUUCACUUAUGGCCAGCUUCUAGCAGCUUGCACCGAAGAAGGACUAAAAAUUUAUAAUGAGUUGAAACUAUCUAGACAAAUUAAGCUAGAUAGGAUCAAAGGAAGAACCCAAUUAGGAGACUUUUAUGGUCAAUUUGGAAUGAAAAAUCUUGUCUCUAGCAAAAGAUGCCAUAGAACUAGUAACCCAGAAAAAACUCAUAGAAAAAGAAGGUAUAGACACAGAUCUAAAGAAGAGUGUGAAGCCAAAAAAACCCAUCGUAAGUCUACUAGAUUUACGAAAAAUAGGUCCAAAAGAGAUCUAGCAAAAAUCAAGUGUUAUAGGUGUAAGCAAUUUGGUCAUAUUGCUCCAAAUUGUAAGCUCCAUAAAACUUAAGUCUCUAGAUCUCUCUGAAGACAUGCAUGAUAAAAUUUAUGGUUUAUUAUAUAAUCCAGGUUCUGAGUCUAAUUAUGAAUAUGAAUCUGAGAAUGAUAUUGAAUUACCUGAUUCCACGGAUAUUGCAAAUUAUGAAAAACCUGAGGUUAAUGUCUUCACGGAUUGCACUAACAAUGUUUGUGAUUGUGAAAAUACUUUUUUAUAAAUUAAAAUCCCAGUUUGAAGAUUUAGAUUUAAAUGUUCAAACAAUUACUGUUGACAGUGCUUUAGAGUUAUUGAAAGAAGUUACUAAUGAAAAACUUUGCCAAUAUCAGAUAACUUUUGACUAUUGCUUAGCUUCUUUAUCAAAUCAGUCAUGAUAUCUAGCUUUUUAUCAAGAGAAAAAAUAUGUUCUCCAAGAACUUUCACAUAAAGGAUUAAAUAAUUAUUUUGAGCAAUUAAACUAUUUAUUUCAGAAAUAGUGAUUUUUCCAACCUCAUUAACAACGAAUUUUUGAAAAGCAGAGAAGGUUAUUCCAGUAUUGUUGGGUAGUAUGAAAGCUGAUUGAGGGGGAUAAAUAGUUUGAGUUACAGUACCAUCGGCAUUUUAAUAAGACCUUUCAAUAAUUUUUACAUAUUAAGGAAAAUAUGCAGACAUAUAUCAUGGAACAAAGCAAACAUUUUGAUAUACAAUGCACACAUUUCAUAAAAUUCUUCAGAAAUAUUUUUCAAUUCAUCAUAACUAUAGGUUUCAUAAAACCAUGUCCGAACGUUUUCCAUUUUUCAGAAAAAAAUUCUCUUUUAAUACAAUUUCUGGCUGGUGAAUCAGAACUAAAAUCAAUUAGCUGUGGAAUCAUGAUUAACAAGAAUUAACAUCAAACUUCAUUUUAGAGGGAGUGGGUUUAUCCUUAUCUGGGAUAUUAUCAUUAUCUUGAACAAACCUACGUUAUAUUUCUAGAAGAAUCUCUGUACAUGACGGAUAAAAAUUAAAAAUAAUUAAAAAAUACUUGGAUGAAGUCUGAAAAAAUUUGAUGAAAGCUGUGGAACAAUGUUCAGAUACUUUCAUCAAGAGUCUUACAAGUGAAGAAGCAGCUGAAUCUGAAGAUAUUCAAGAAUCCCAGCCACUUCGUCCUGAAAAUAUUCUUAAUGAUAAAGAAAUUGAAAGAGCUGAGGCCUUACUCUAUCAACUAAAAAGCAAAGGAAAAAACAAGAUAUGAUAGGUUUACUAUGCUCGUCUUCUAUGUAUAGGACCCAUAUAUGGGACCCUUAAAUAAUAAAAACACUAUGCACAGGGACCCACCAGUACUGUGCAAGAUGCUUUUUAUUUCUAUAUAUAUAGACGCCUCAUCUGUUAGGGAGGCAUAAGCUAGAAAAAUUUUCUCUCUUUCAGUUUUCUCUCUCUAAGUCUGCUCUCCCGUCUCUCUACCCUCUUGUAUAAUAUUUCAAGAAGGCAGCUAGCCGAUAUUUACUAUUUAGGCCUUGCAUCCGGCCAUUAUUAAGGUAUUUAUUUAUUUUCUUUUAAAGUACUUCUAAUACUUCUUCUUUCCUUCCAGCAGUGACUAUGUCCAGCUAAAAACCUUUCAUACCUAAGUUUGAACCUUUAGAAACCAAGUAUGUUUUUGUUUAGUAUUGUUAUAAUAUAAGGUUUGGGUAAAGGCUUUUAUAUAGUCCCAAUAAGUGAAAGCAAUUUUCGAUCCUUUCAUUGUCAUGAAUUUUUCUGUCAUGGAAGUGGUUUCCCAGUCUUCUAUUGAUAUGAGUUUUUUAAUGAUCAUCUUGGAGUAUCCAUGAACAUCUAGAGUUAUUUCACCCAUUUGAUGGCAUUCUAUUUCAAUACUUCUAGUAGCCACUAGUAUUGAUUCAUAAAAGGCUCUUGUCUUGUAAGAUUUUCCUACAAAAUAGUGGUUAGUUAAUAAAUGUUUUUGGAGGAGUUUCCAUGAAUCAUUUUUUUUACAUAUUUGCGAAUUUUCUACGAGAACUAUUAGCUCUUGAUUUUUAAGUUUUUCAUAAUUUUGCCUAUCAACAGUGUUUUCUUUGGCAACUAAAGUAAACAAAUCAGGUUGCUUGGCAGAUGUAAAAAAUUGUAGUUGCUCAAAUAAAGGAUGAUCCUAUGGAAUCUCGUCCAAAUGGAUUGAAGUGCUCAUAUGCGGAGUUUUAGAAGAUGAAUUUGCAAUUUGCGAAAUUCUUGCAUUAAUCAGACUCAUAUUUCCCCUUUGGAAUACUAGGUAAUUGGAUGAUGAAGAAGCAUAUGAUGAUGAAGGGGAUUUUCUCCCCCUAGAAGAAGAGUAUGCUGCAUUAAGUAAAUUAGAAUUUAUCAAAUGAUGAGUCAAUAUCAGACCAAUCAAUUUCAUCCCGUAUAUCUUCAAAAUUAGGAAGAAAUAAAUCUUCUUCUAUCAUAUUUUGGAUAAGUUUUUCUAAUAUGAUAAAAUGAAUAUCUUCACUUAGAGGAAUGCAUUUUAUAAUAGUAACUUUUGUUUUUUCAGAAAAAAGGUAUGUGUAAUAAUUCAUUUAAUUAUUUAAGUAUUCCCUAGAUACGAAAUCAGGCAAAGAAUUUUCACUACCUUUCUUGUAUUGUAUUUCGAAAUCAAAAGGGGCUAGCUGGGCUUGCCAUCUUGCAAAUAUCAAUUUAGAGGCAUCAUGUUUAAAAUCUUUGUCGAACAUGUACUUAACAAAAUGAGCAUCUGUUCGAACUAUAAAUUUUUGAUUAUAUAAAUCAUCUUGGAAUUUUAAAAUACAUUUAACAAUAGUUAACAUUUCAUGGGCCACCGUGGCGUAUUUUUUUUUUGACUUUUAGACCAUUUUCCAGAAGGAAAUCUAACCAAACAUUCAACAUUAUUAUGGGGAUUAACUUGUUUAAGUAUUCCUCCAUAACCAAUAUUUGAAGCUUCAGUUUCAACUAUUUUUAACCAAGCUGGAUUAGCUAAGGUUAAACAAGGUAGAGUCGCAACAUGUUUUUUGAUUAAUCUUACCAGAUCGGUGUGGACUUGAGUCCAAGUCUUUUUGUGAUCCUUUUUAACCUAUCAUAUAAAGUAGCUAAAUCUCUAGAUAAAUUCUGAUAAAAGGGAGAAAUAUAGUUAAGACUUCCUAGAAAUCAUUGCAACUGAGUUUUAUUAGUAAUAAUAUUAAAAAAAUUUUCAGCAAAGUUCAUAGCUCGUUGUAUAGGCUCAAUUGUUCCUUUACAAGUAUUAUGUCCUAAAAAUCGAACAUUUGUUUGGAACAAACACAUUUUUAGUUUAGAAAUAACCAAACCAUUUUGUAUCACAAUUUUUUUUGAAAAUAUUCAGAUGUUUAAAAUAUAAUUCUAUUGUUUUUAAAAGCACAAAGAUAUCAUUAAUAUAUACAAUUAUAAAAUACAUAUAGGCAAUCAAUAUAUCAUUCAUGAUUUUUUGAAAUUCAGAAGGAGCAUUUUUUAAACCAAAUGACAUAACAUUCCAUUCAUAUUAUCCAAAAGGGACGUUAAAGGCACUUCUAUAUGUAUACCUUUUAUCAAUUUGAAUUUGCCAAUAACCAGAUUUUUGAUCAAAUUUUGAAAAUAUAUUGGCAUCAUAUAAUGUAGAUAGUAUGUCUUUUUUAUUAGGUACUGGAUACCUAAUCCAUUUUAAAACUUUAUUCAGAGGUUUAUAAUUAAUUACCAAUCUUGGCGUACCUCGUUCUUUUUCAACAACAUUAUUGACAUAGAAAGCAGUACAAGACCAAGGGAAUUAAUAAAGUUGUUAAGAAAAAUUUAAAAUAUUAUGAUUCUAUUAUUGAUAUGAUGCCCUAUUCUCUAACUGAAGUUAAUAGACGUCUUGCCAUCAGUCAAACUCCUGGUACAUAUACGUCUUUUAACGAUUUAAAAAUAGAAGUUGAAAACCAGAAAAAAGAGAUUAUUUCUUUAAGACAAAUCAAAUAAUUUUAGAUCAUAGAAUUUCAAAAAUUGAAGAGAAUAUUUUCCAAAAUGACAUUGUUUCCAGUUCUAAAGGAAAAGAAAAGGUUUCUGAAAAUUCUGAAAAUGAUAUUAUUCGUGAUAUGGAUGUAAAAAAUGAUUAUUUUUUGGGUAUGAUGUAAAUAGUUAUUGCCCAUAAAUGGUAAAUAAAUUGUACUAUCUUGAUUAAUAACGAAUUUUUUGUAACUAAUAUGGCUAUGAUUGAUAGUGGUGCUGAUGUUAGCUGCAUUCAAUAAGGAUUAAUUACAACCAGAUAUUUUGAAAAAACAACGCAUAUUGUUAGAUCUACCUCUGGUCAUUCUCUGGAUAUUAACUAUAAAUUGCCACAUGUGUAUAUUUGUAGAAAUAAGGUUUGCAUUCCACAUUUCUUUUUUCUAGUCAACAACUUUUGUAUUUCACUCUCUUCUCUGCCUAUUUCUUGCUUCUUCUUUACUUUGCUUGUAUUUUAUUUGAAUAAUAAUUUUUUUUUCUAAAAACUUGUUGGUUUAUAAUUAAUUAUGUUGAUUUUUGUAUCCUCUGAUUAAUUAGGAAAGACUUAUUUAAUUUAAGAUAUCCUCUAAUUAAUCAGGAAAGUUCUUGUUUAACUUUGGAGAAACAUUUCACAUUACAAAAAUAAUUUCUCAGGACAGUGUCUUGCUCGACUCAAAUAUUUUUAUAUAUAGUAUACUUAUAUAUUUAAUACAAUAUUAUAAUAAUAAUAAUUAGUUAAUUUUUUAUACUAUUAAGUUAUUAGUAUAUUGUUAAAUCAUUACGUUGCUAAAAUUAAAUAUUAUUAUUAUUGUUAUAUUCAACAUCGUUUUCCAACAAUCCAAGAGACUGACAAGUAAUACUAAUAUUCUGAAACUAAUACCGAUGCUAUCCCUACUACUUUUGUUUAACUUGUUUACCCAUAUGCUAAAUCAUUUAUUGAUGUAUCAAAUAUUGAAAUUUUUGCUAAUGAAAAUUUUUAAAGAUGGCAAGUACGUGUUUUCUCACUACUCGAUGUUCAUGGGGCGGCACAUACUUUGCUAUAUCCACUACGAGGUAUAGAAAUCGAUAAUAAAAUUUUGAUAUCAUGGCAAUACGCUGAUAAGGUAUGUCGCCAUACUAUAUUACAAACUAUUUCUAAUGAACUAUUAGAUGUAUAUUGUAGUUGCAAGGAAGCAAAAUUAAUUUGGAAAGCCUUAAUUAAAAACUUCACUAUUGAAGAUGCUACCAAAAAAAGUUUGUAGUUUGAAGAAAUUAUAACUGGAAGAUGAGUGAUAUGAAGGAGAUGAAAAUUCAAAUCAACCAAUAUCAAACAUUGCUUUAUGAUCUAAAAGCCAAACAAAUCUCUCUACCAAAAAAUUUUACGGUAGGAGUGUUGAUUAAAAAAUUACCUGACUCAUAAAAUGACUAUAAAAAUAGCCUAAAGCAUAAGGAAAUAAAUUUCACUAUUGUGGAGAUAAUGUGAAACGCCCCAAACCUUGGCCCUUGUAAAUUUCUCGAGUCUUGAACUUUCUGUUCAUCAUACAACUCACACCACAAGUCGUAUGGUGUGGUGAUGGGUUUAUGGAACCUAGUCGUAUGUUGGUUAAUGUGUUUCUGGCUAAGUUUCUAUCCUAGAUAAGAUAGACUCCAUACGAGUCAUCUGUUGAUGUGAUGAGAGGGUUGAGUUCAAUCUUAUGUUGUUAGUGUCUAGCCCUUAAUGUUCUGCCUAGAAUACGACUUAAUGGUACUAGUUGUGUGGUAUGGUGAUGGGUUGGGCAAAGCCGUAUGUUGGAUAAAUGUAGUGUCCAACUUUCUGACUAAGUGACGACUUGAGGAUACCAUUUGUAUGUUAUGCUGAUGAGUUGGAAGGUCCACUAGUACCCACGUGCGAGUUUUCUAAAGCUUUUAAGUUAGGAGUACUUUGGACAUUUCCCACCUCAAAUUCCUUAAGACCCCACGUCUUAUAACAUAAAUUGGGCAUUCAUUCUACACUUAGCAAGGUUAGAACACUCUCUAAACUCUCUCAAAUAGAUUAGUUUAGGGUUUCAUCAAACUAUCCAAUUAAGGUUAUCAAGGGUGGUUUUUCUCUGUUUUUCUUGGUGUCUAAAGCAUAUUAAUCUUCCUAUAUUGUAAGUUAACAAAAAACUCAUGUUUUAUUGUAUGGUGUUUAUGGUAUUAUUGUGGAUUUAUUUUAGUUUUGAAAAGAUAUUGGGGUUUUUUUGGCUAUUCAUGGUUGGAUAAUGUUUUUCCAUACUUUUUUGUGGGUUUUAAUGUUAUAAUUAUGGUUUGAACAUGUGGUUAUAUGAGAAUGGUGACGUUGAUGCUUGGUUUUUGGUUUGGAAACUAUAUGCCUUUAACAUGUUUGUUAAAAUGUCAAUGAGUGGUUUUUGUCACAUAGUUUGACUUUUCUUGAAAUCUUUGCAUUGCAUGGUAUGGUAAUGGAACCUAAAUUGGUUUGGUUUAUUUUAAAUGGCUUAAAAAGGCCUUGCUGGCCAUGGUUUUGGUUUAAUUGGAAAUCUUGUGAGGUACAUGGGAAUCCCCUAAGUUUUGGCUAGUGACAUUACUUGCAAGCUAUAGUCGGUAUGACGAUACCACUUUAUAAUGCCUUGAUAAUGGACUCCUUGAAUUGGUGGUUUGGCUAUGUGCUGAAUGUUUUAAUUGGGCAAUAAUGGUAGAUUGUGAUUGCUAACCGUGAAGGAGUGAGUUCAAUGGACGGAGACUAGAAACUCAUAUUUGUUGACAUGAGGGUUGGUCUUGGUGACCAUAUGCUUGUGGGGUACACGGGAAUCAUCCAAGUUUAUGCUUGUAUAUAUUUAUCAUGAAGGGUGAAGGGUACACGAGAAUCCCUAACCCCUAUGAUAUCUCCGAUUCAUGCGUCUACACGCAUUGGGGCCCGUUCAGGGGGUAACACUGGACCUAUAUAGCCCAUGGGUGGAUUAUGGUGGUAAAGCAACACAACCCACUUUAAGGUUUUAAAUGCAUGCUAAACCCGAUUUAUUAUCCCAACAUGAUAUAUAUAUAUAUAUAUAUAUGUAUGUAUGUAUGUAUGUAUACAUAUGAGGCGCUAUAUCCCCACACGAUGUAGGAACCGACCAUGCUAACAUUCCCCCUGUCAGUGACUUGGAUUUGGGGUUAGCUUUGAGUCAGACUAAAGUGGUGAGAUUUCAUACUCUGGAAGGCUCUAUUUCAUGCUAUGGACUUCUUUUAUUCUUGUUAUUUCUUCAGAUUGGUUUUGGCUAUGGUCGGGGGGAUAUCCCAAUCGAAUGUUAUUGAUUCUAGUUAAAGGCUUUAUCGACCAACUAUGGUUAUGGGUAAUGUUGGUAUUGGUGUCAGUCCUGGUAUUAGUAUUGGCAUUGGGGUUGGCACCGGUUGAAUUUUUUAUUGAGGUUGUUAGAUUAUGAUUAUAAACUUUAUUGAGUUUUUUUAAAUACUUCUUGUUUCAUCUUGUUAUAUGAUCAAAAUUUAUCCAACAUAGGGUGCAGGGUAGUUAUGGUGGGUAUCAAGGGUAGUCUCUUGUCCUGGUUGAACUUGAGAUGCCCGACACGACUAGGCCCGGGUUUGGAUCAUGUUAGAUUGGUAUAGAGCCUUAGGUUUAUGGUCAAUUAGAUAUCUGAUAAAGUCAUGUUGAUUAGAGUGUCAUUUAAGGGUGUGUAGCGCACCACAAUCAUAAGGGAGAGGCUAUAAGACAUUUAGAAAUAUUUUUGUUUCUUAUGUUCUGUUUUCAAGCUGUAGAGUCUAAGGUCCUAAAAUUUUCUCUAGUUCCUAUUUGUUCGCUUUUCAGAUCAUGCCUCCUCGACGAUCUAAAUCUUAUGGAAACACCUCUGUCCUACCUCAAGACUAUAUUGAUGGGACCCAUUCUACUUAUAGGGUCUAGACCCGGUCUAGGGGUCUAGUUCCUGAUUGUCCUCCUGGAGUUCUACCAGUUCCCUCCAGCCCUUUUUGAUUUCCUUAGACUAAUGUGAUGAAUACCGAGUUUCAUUAGUCUAUAUAUAUGUUGGUGCAAUUGGUAUCUUCUCAGGCUGAGUGUGGUGUUUAUGUUACUGCAUUUCCUGAGGCCAUAAGGGCUGGCCAUUUCAUGAGGUUGAAUCCUCCAACCUUUACUGGUGUUAAGGUAGAGGAGGAUCCUCAAGGUUUUCUAGAUGAUAUGGAAAAAAUCUUCUGUGUUAUGCAUGCCACAAAUAUGGAGGGUGUGGAAUUUUCCGCCUAUUAGCUGAAAGAUGUGGCAUACUCGUGGUAUGAGGAAUGGGAUCAGUCAAGGGGUGACGAUGUUGAGUCAUCUCUAUGGGCGAAUUUUUCUAAUUCUUUCUUGGACCUAUUCUUUCCUCAGAAGUUGAAUGAGGAAAAAGUGGAAGAGUUUGUUAAUCUGAAGCAAGGCAAGAUAUUAGUCAAGGAGUACGCCACGAAGUUUCGCCAGUUAUCUCGGUAUACAUUGAAGUUGGUUCCUAGCAUGAAGGAUAAAAUGAGGAAGUUUACUUCUAGUUUGUCCAAAGACUUGAUUUUGGAGAGUAAGGUUGCCUUGUUGAAUAAGGACAUGGAUAUCUCAAGGUUAGUUAUGUACAUGCAUCAGGCUGAGGAAGAGAAAAAGAAGCAGACUAUGAUAGGGGAGAGACAUGGCAAAAAGUUCAAAUUUUUUGAGAAGGGUGGUGGCCAACAACAGAGUGGCAGGGAUGGUCGUAAGUGGCCUAAGAAGAAGUGAGGCAAUUCUGGUUCUUAAUCGACUACUAGUGCUCCCUAUCCAAAGUCGUUGGAUGAUAGACAUUUCUAUAGUAGUGAUAAUGUUAGGGCAUAGGGUGCCCAAUAGCAGGAUUGUGAGGCCAGUCAACUCUAUCAUAUCCUCUCUAUAGAUUUUAUGGUCAUUUGUAUCGGGUUUUCAGUGAUAAGGGAAAGGACAAGUGCUUCAACUAUGGUUAGUUAGGGCACAUACUUAAAAACUGUCCUAUUGGUAAGGUUGUCUCUGGGACAAACAAGAUUUUAGUUGCCUCUUCAUCAGCUCUGGCACUAAAGGGUGCACCAUCUAGUUCCAACAUUGGUCGAAACUGUCUCUAUGCUCUCACUACCCGAUAGGAGUCUAAGGUAUCACCUAAUGUUGUGACUGGUAUGUUGAAACUCUUUUCCCAUGAUUUUUACUGUUUACUUGAUUCGGGGUCCAUUUUUUCUUAUGUGACCCUAUUUUUAGUUGUACAUUUGGUUUUGGUCUCGAGUGUAUUCCAUACCCUUUUCUAUUUCUACCCAGGUGGGUGACUCUGUGGUGCCUAGAAGAGUCUAUAGGGGCUAUGUGGUGUCUUUCGGUGGUCGGAAAACCUUGGUGGAUCUAUUUGAAUCAGACAUGGUUGAUUUUGAUGUCAUAUUGGGGAUGGAUUGGUUACACUCAUGCUAUGCUCCUUUAGACUGUCAAACUCGUAAAGUCAUCUUUAAAUUCCCUAAUGAGAUGGUUAUUAAAUAAAAGGAUCGUUCCCUAGCUCCUAAGUUAAAGUUCAUAUCGUAUCUUAGAUCUCGGAGAUAGAUCUCUAUGGGGUGUCUCUUUCAUCUAGUCCGGGCGAAUGAUUCUAACUCGAAGGGUCCUUCUUUGUAUUUUGUUCCAGUGGUGAAUGAAUUUCCUAAAGUUGUCCCUGAUGACCUUCCUGGUGUCCCUCCAAAUAGGGCGAUUGAUUUUGGGAUUGAUCUUAUUUUAGACACUCGUUCAAUUCUAUUCCUUAGUAUAUAAUGGCUCUGCUUAGUUGAACGAGCUUAAGGAGCAACUAAAGGAUCUCUCAGACAAGAGUUACAUCCGUCUUAAUGUGUCUCCGUGGGGUAUACCGGUAUUAUUCGUGCAUAAGCAGGAUGGUUCCUUUUGAAUGUGCAUUGAUUAUUGUUAGUUGAAUAUGGUGGCAGUACAGAAUAAGUACCCUCUUCUAAAUGAUAGAUGAUUUGUUUGAUCAGUUGCGGGGUGCUAAGUUUUUCUCUAAGAAUGAUCUUCGAUCUAGGUAGCAUUAGUUGAAUAUUAGGGAGGUGGAUCUUCCUAAGACUGUCUUCUGUAUUCCAUAUGAGCAUUUUGAAUUUCUGGUUAUGUCUAUUAAGAUGACCAAUGCCCGAACGACAUUCACAGACUUAACAAAUAAAGUUUUUCGUCAGUUUUUGGAUUUAUUCAUCAUUAUGUUCAUAGAUGAUAUUCUGGUGUACUCUAAGAGCGAGGUAGAUUAUGCCGAUUACCUCCAUACUGUGUUGCAAACCCUUAAAGAGUAGCAAUUAUAUGCCAAUAAUUGAAAUGUGAAUUCUGGUUGGAUGCUGUCAUUUUUUUUGGGUUAUGUCAUUUCUAGUGAAGUGAUUAUGGUGGAUCUACAGAAAGUUACAGUGGUUAAGAAGUGGCCAAGACCUAGGACUCCAACCGAUAUUCAGAGCUUCUUGGGUUUAGCUUCCUACUAUAAGAGGUUUGUGGAAAGUUUUUCGACUAUAGCUAACUUGUUAAAUAAGUUGACUCAGAAGAAAGUGAUGUUCUUGUGGUUUGAUGCUUAUGAGGGUAGUUUUGAAAGGCUGAAGGAUAAUCUAACUUUGGCUUUUAUCUUGACUUUUCCUGAAGGCAUGGAUGGUUUUGUGGUCUACUGUGAUGCAUCUCGUGUGGGUCUUGGUUGCAUCUUGAUACAUCAUGGCAAGGUGAUAACUUAUGCCUCUAGACAAUUUAAGGUGCAUGAGUGGAAUUAUUAGACUCAUGACUUGAAAUUAUUAGCUGUGGUGUUCACAUUGAAAAUAUGGCAGCACUAUUUGUAUGGAGUGUAUGUGGAUAGCUUUUUCGAUCAUAAGAGCCUACAAUAUGUGUUUACUUAAAAAGAGCUUAACCUCAGGCAAAGGAGAUGGAUUGAUCUACUCAAGGAUUAUGAUAUGAGUCUUCACUACCACCCAGGUAAAGCUAAUAUGGUUGUUGAUGCUCUUAGUAGGUUAUCCAUGGGGCGUCUGGCUUAUAUGGAUGAAGGGAAACGGGAGUUGGUGAAAGAUGUUCACCCUUUGGCUAAUCUUGGAGUUUGUCUUUUGGACUUCGAGGAUGGUGAUGUAUUUGUUUAGGAGGUGGUUAAGUCAUCCCUGGGUGAUGAGGUAAAGAAGAAGCAAUUGUUAGAUCCUAUCUUGAUGAAGAUCAAGGGUAAAGUAGCUGAGCAGAAGGUGAUGGCCUUCUAUAUUAGUGGUGAUGUUACCUUGCAGUACUAAAGGAGAUUAUGUGUUCCCAACAUUGAUGGUUUACGAGAGAGGAUCUUGGCUGAGGCGCAUGACUAACUCUUCUCACUUUUUACCAGUGAGGACUAAUUGUUUAGCAGAGGAUAAUGCAAGGUUGUAUCUCCAAGAGAUUGUGAAGUUGCACGGGGUCCCUGUUUCUAGUAUCUCAGAUUGUAGUAAGCAGUUUUCAGUGAACUUUUGGUUAUUAUUUUAGAAAGGUUUAGUGACCAAGGUGAGUCUUAGUACUGCUUUUCACCCGUAAUUGGAUAGGCAAGCGGAAUGGACUAUUCAGACAUUGGAAGAUAUACUUAGAGCUCGCGUGAUUGGUUAUGGCAGUAGUUGGGUUGAGCAUUUACCUCUUAUAGAGUUUGCGUAUAAUAAUAGCUACCACUCUAGAAUUGGAAUGGCUUCGUUUAAGGCUUUGUAUUAUAGGAGGUGUAUAUCUUCUAUUGGGUGGUUUGACGUUGGAGAGGCGGAGAUGUUUGGCCCGGAUUUGGUUCACCAAGCCAUGGAGAAGGUGAAGGUUGUUCGGGAUAUGCUUAGAGCCACCCAAAGUCAGAAAAAGUCCUAUACAGAUGUGAGGCAUAAGAAGUUAGAGUUUGAGAUUACGGAUAAAUUGUUCUUAAAGGUAUAUCCCAUGAAGGAAGUGAUGCGAUUUAGGAAGAAUUGGAAGCUCAGUUGUAAUACCCUGAUCGUUCCUUAAGCCUGAAUCCGUCUUUUGAAGUGAAUAUGGAUAACUUCCAAGGUGAAUGAUGUUUAAACCGUGUUGUAUUUCUCAAUUUCUACUUUCUAUCACGUGGAGAUUUGAAUAAGCUUUUCGUCGAUACCAAAUUCACCCAAAUUCGACCCUCGGGUAAAGAGUUAGAUCGAUUUUAGUGAGACAGCGUGCCACCUGGCACUUUAGCGUGUCGCAGAGCCAGCCAAAAUGGCAAUUGUCAUUUUCUAGUAAUUCUCCGCGAUAUUGGCGCAUCGUGUCAAGGCUUAAUAUUAGGAUUGUCAAAUUCCAGUGCACUAACACAAUUCUACCGCAUUGCGGUGCCCUUCCAGGUCACGACCAAGGUGACAACGCGAUUUCACCGCGUCGCGCCAUUGAGCAGUUUCCCAAUUGUCAAAAUCCAGUGAAGGUCCACAAUCAUGGAGCGUCGCACCAAGGACAAAACUCGGGCUCCAGUUUUAGAAUUUUCUCAAGGGUAUUUUGGUCAUUUCUGCCCAUUUUGGCCUAUAUAUAUAUCCAAGUAGAGAAGAGCAAUUCAUUUUCUCUCCAAUCUCUUCCAAGAAAUAUCUAGAGCUAGAGUUUUUCUCCUCCAAUUCCAAAUCCAAAUCUUCUCCAAGAAAAUUUAAGAAUCUUCUAUAUAUUUCACCGAGUUGUUCAAGAAUCAAGUUCUCUAAGUCAAAGGUAUCAAGAAACUUAGCUCAAAAGUGUGAAGAAGAGUUUCCAAUCAAGUCUUUUCGUCUUAAAAUUAUAAUCCAAGGUAUGUGGGGCUUGAACAAGAAUAUCGUUUUAUUCUUGUGCCCGAAGAAUUGAUUUUUUUUUACUAUUGGAAUUUCAUAAUCCUUGCAAGUGGGUUUACACCCAAAUUUCUUUAUUUAUGAUUUAUGAGAUUUGAGUUGAUUAAGUUUGAUAUUUAUGAUUAUUUUUCCAUCAUAUUUCUUAAAUUGAGAAUUUAUGCCAUGAAUUGUAUCUUGUUAGUAUGUAUUGAUGAUUUCUAAGUGAUUUAAGAUAAGUGUCAUGAGUUAUGCUUUUCCAUGAGAAGAUUGAGUACUGAAUAUAUAUCGAUAUUAAGCUUGAGGGUUAAGAAUGAGUCCUAUGAUGUUUUCUUGAAGAUUUUGAUACUUGAUAUGAUUUGAUAAGUAAGUCUACUUGAUGUUGAGAAAGACUGUUUGAGUUUGAGUCGAGUUAGGAAUCCACAAGUUGUAUAUGAUUUACAGAUGAGAUAUAUUUAUGAUUUGGUCCUCAUGAUAGACCCUUGAGUUGAUUAAGGUGGAUUUCCUAAUGCGUUUUGAGUUGAGUAUGGGAGGAGUAUUUAGCACCGAGUGGGAAGUGUGGGUUCAACGUAUCCUACUUCUCCAGAACUAUAUACUGCUGUAGGAUUGAUAUUUGAGGGCCAAAGAGCUGAGUUUGUGAUCACAGAGAUGAGUUUGAGGUUAUACUCCCUGGAAAGAGCAUAACUCUUCCGCCAAUGUAGGGUUCCUUCCUUAGGAGGGCAAAACAUUGGACUCCAUGUGGCUCACAUGGUUUAUGUCGGUUAUAAGAAACUCCCAAGUCCAUAAUAGUCUAAGUUUCUUGAGUUACCAAGUCAUUCUAAGUCAUGAGUUAAAGAGUUUGAGUUGAGUCCAAUGAUUUAUGAGAUUUGUGAAGCAUGUGUUAUUAUCGAUGAUUUAUGGAAAUUAUAUUUCAGGAAAUUCAAGCUAAGAGAGUCAUUACUGUCAGCAUGCAUGACUUUAUUUUACAUUUAUGAUAUUGUUUAAAAGUGUUGCAUACACCCCCACAUACUCAGUACAAUCCCAAGUACUGAUUCCCGUACUCUUCUAUCCUCUACAUUUUCUUGUGAUGUAGGUUCAGGUGCUCAGUCUCAGCAGUGAUAGUGAUCUUUGAGUACCUCCAUCUACAUUCUUACAGGUUGUGAGUCCUCAUGGUUCGAGGACCUAUGUCCAUGAUUUUUUGGCCUUAAUAGUAGAUGAUUUUUUUUUUCCAGUUCAGGCGAGUCAGUUGGGGAUCUUUCCCAAUGGCUUCUUAGUCUUUUGUAGUAGAGGCUUUGUCAGACUAGAGUACCAGUAUGCAAAGAACUUUUAGUAUUUUGUUUGUACAGGACAGUAUUUCUUCGUAUCACAGUAUGCUCAUGACAAGAUUAUUCUUCCCUAUUUUAAAAUAAUUAGUGUUAUAGUGAGUUCUGAAAGUGAUGAUAGGCUUAGAGGGUUAGCUUGAGGCAACGUGUGUCCUUAAGCAUCGUGUGAUGUCUAGCGAAAGGUUCUUGGGGUGUUACAUCAGUCCAUGGUAUGUUGGUUCGUACUUGGUUUUGAGAAGGUUUGGCAAUAUUGCAUAUGAGUUGAAGUUGCCUUCUUGUUUGAGCCUCAUUCACCAGGGGUUCCAUGUUUCUAUGUUGAAGAAGUGUGUGGGUGAUUUGUCACAGAUGUACCUAUUAAUGAUAUUGAUAUUUCAAGUUCCCUAUCUUAUGAAAAAGGUCCCUGUUGAGAUCUUAGAUUAAUAAGUUCAUCGGUUGUGAACCAAGGACGUAGCUUUGAUAAAAUUUCUGUAGAGGAACCACAAGCUCGAAGACGUUACUAGGAAGAGAAAGAGGACAUGAAGUCCAAGUAUCCACAUGUUUUCUUCUUCGAAUGUUCGUGCAUAAGGUAUGUGUUGAUCUUACCUUCUUUGUUUUCUGACUUUGUUAAAGAAAAGAUUGAUAUCCUUGGUAUUCUUGUUUUCUAUCUUAGUUAUAGGUAAGGGUAGAGGUAUGUGGGAUCCAAAUCGUGCUUGUACUACCUUGUCCUAUUAUUCGAGGAUGAAUAAUUCUAAGUGGGGGAGACUAAAAUGCCCUGGACUUUGGCCCUUGCAAAUUUCUUGGUCUUGAACUUUUUGUUCAUCAUACGACUCACAUCACAAGUUGUAUGAUGUGGUGAUGGGUCUAGGGACCCUAGUCAUAUGUUGGUCAGUAUGUUGCUGGACAAGUUUUUGUCCUAGUUACUAUAGACUCCAUACGAGUUUUAUACUGAUAUAAUGAGAGGUUUGAGUUCAAUUGUAUGUUGCCCAGUGUCUAGCCCUUUGAUGUUCUUCUUAGGAUACGACUUGAUGGUACUAGUCGUGUGGUAUGGUGAUGGGUUGGGCAAGGGAUCCGUAUCUUGGACAGAAUGUGGUGACCAACUUUCUGACCUAGUGAGGGCUUGAGGGUACCAUUUGUAUGUUGUGGUGGUGAGUUGGAGGGUCCACUCGUACCCACCUGUGAAUUUUCUACAUCUUUUAAAUUGGGGGUAUUUUGGAUAUUUCCCACCCUAAAGCCCUUAAUACCCCACAUCUUAUAAAAUAAAUUGGGCAUUCAUUUUACACUUAGCAAGAUUAAAACACUCUCUAAACUCUCUGAAGACCUCUCAAGGAGAUUAGGAUAGGUUUUUAUCAAGCUAUACAAUUGAGGCUCUCAAAGGUGGUUUAUCUCCAUCUUCCUUGGUGUUUAAGGCAUGUUACUCCUCACUCAUUGUUAGUUAACAAAAAAAAUCAUGUUUUAUUGUAUGGUGUUGUGAAUUUGAUUGGUUUGGAAAAGAUGUUCGGAGUUUUGGUUGAUCAUGGUUAGAUAAUGUUUUCCCAUGUUUUUCUUAUAGUUUUUCAUGUUAUAAAUAUGGUUUGAACAUGUGAUUACAUGGGAAUGGUCAAUUGAGGCUUGAUCUUUGGUUUUGGAAACUAUAUGCCCUCAACAUGUUUGUAAAAUGCCAAUGAGAAUGAUUUUUGUCACAUUGUUUGACUAUUCUUGAAAUCUUUGCAUUGCAUAAUAUAGUAAUGGAACCUAAAUUGGUUUGGUUGAUUUUAAAUGGCUUGGAAAGGCCUUGAUAACCAUGGAUUUAGUUUAAUUGUAGAUCUUGUAGGGUACAUGGGAUCCCCUAAGUGUUGGCUAGUGACAUUGUGUAAUACCCCGUAGGAUCCUAGCUCAAUUCAACUCACCAUUGUAUGUAAAAAGGAGUCCAAGAAUUAGAAAAUUUCACUAAGUGUUAGGACUUCAUCAUUUCUAAAGCCCCUAAACGUCAAUGAUUUUAUUUUUGACCUUCCUAACACUGGAGAGUUAAUUUUUAAGUUGAUUUAUGAUCGAAGUUGUUGAUAGAACAUCUCGAGUGAGUUUUAGAAUUUUUGGAUGAGCAUAAGGGCAUGUUUGGAGACGCAAAACUAUAGACCACUUGGGAUAGGCCUGCAGUGUGCAGAUUAGACCACCGCUAUGAAUCUCGUGGUGCGGGGCUUAGCCCGCCGGUCUAAAGCCCGCGGCGCUCAGAUUAUCGCCAGCCUCUCUUUUUUUUCCAGCUUCUGUUUCCAUUUUUUCAAGGGCAAUUGGGUUUUUUCCCUUCACCCAUUUGGUCCAUAACUCAAGAUUAGGAUCCUAAAAACAUAAUUUUCUAUCUUAUUCACAAAAUCCUCUCAAAAGGAAACAUCCUCUCUAAAGAAAAACCCUAUCCUCUUCAAAAGAAAUAAGGGAUUCAAGCUUAAUUCUAAAGAAAAUCAUCAAGAACCUUCACAAAUUCAUCAAUUAAGGUAUGUGUGAUGUCCAUCCAUGGGCCCUUAUUACCCAUGGAGUCCAAGAAUCCAUUUUUAAGAUUUAAAUUAUGGUUUUACACGUUACUAUGAAUUAUCUCCAUGAAACUCUUAUGAAUUUCAAUCAUCUAUUAUGUUUCCAAGAGUUUUUGAUAGAAAGAGCCUUUACACGUUUGAAAGUUGAAAUAUGUUCAUCAAUAUCUUGGUAAUUUGAUUUCAAGUCAUAGUUACAAUUGUUUUCACGCAGAAUGGAUUAUAGUAUGUUUUAAAUGUUGUAGUUUCCAUAGCAUGUUCAUGCGAUUCAAAAUAAAUUCUCAAUUUAUGACUUUGUCAUGAGAUUGUGCUAUCUCAUCAUGUUUAAAAGCAUCCACAUGUAAAAGUAUUGAUCUCCAUGUGUAUUAUAAAAUGCCAAAGUUAUGGUUUUUAAGUAAUGAUUCCUUAUUAUGGUUGUCAAAGCUUGCAUAUAUCCUUAUUGAUAUUUCCAUUGAGUCCUAGAGGGUUAUGAACACCCGUUACUUAGUUGUUUAUAGAAUUUUAGUAGUUUUACAAUUGUUUUGAAUAAACUAAUAGCAUUAUCAUUCGAUAGCUAUCAUAAUCAGUUUCUUAUUUAGUUAAAUGUAGUUUAGUCCCGUAAUCAGUGUUAGUUUAGUUGAGAGUAGGACUCAGUACUGAGCAAACCUUAGGAUGGAGGCUCACCCGCUAGUUAGGACUGGGUCCAUUGUAGCAAUCCCUGAGUUACAGAACUACGUAGCUAGCAUAGGUUUGAGAUAUUUUUCUGUUAAUUUAGGUUGGCUUAUAUCUCAUGAGUCUUCCUAUUAGUUUAGGGUUGAAAAUAUGUCUUCCUACUAGUUUAGGGUUUACACAACCAUUGUUAGUACCCGGGGCACGGUACUAACACCCUUCUUAUCGGAGUUACAGGUUGGACUUCAAUUAACCCAAUUGGGGCAUGUCGGUUAGAUAAUACCUCCCACAGUUUCAAUAUCAGUACUCAAUACAAAAUUUAGUUUAGUUUGUUUGACAAUAGCAUAAAGUUUAUCAGUAUUCAAUUACCAGAUUUCAGUAUUUCAAUUUUAUAGACUAUUUUAGAUAUAUUAUAUUCUUGGUCUUGCAUUCUAAGCAUUUCAGUUUCAUAUGUACUCAUAUUCAGUUACCUCAUGUCAUUCAGUUAGUUACUAUCUCAUGCAUACGAACCCAUGUAUUUCAGCCUAAACCCAUCUCAUAUACCAGUACAUUAAAAAUACUGACCGCAUACUCAUUUCUUGCUCUAUGAUGUUUAAUAUUAUAGGUUCAGAUACACAGUUUCCUAAUCGCGCUUAGAUAGUUCAUCUUAUCAGUAGCAGUGGUGUGUCCUCAUGUUUUGAGGACCUAUUAUAUUUCUUUCAGUAUUUCCUUUUAGUUAGUCAAUCGGAGUUAGUUAGGGGUAUGUCCCAUCAACUCCUUAUAGUUUAAUGGCUUUCAGACACUUUAGACAGUCAGUUAGUUUUGUUAAUCCUUCAGUCAGAUUAUAGAUAUUAUUCGAAUAUAUUUUAGACUUGUAGAUUCAGUUGUCAUAUUUUCAGUAUUUAAAACCUUAUGGUGUAUAAAGUUUAUUUUCGCACAUGUAUUUUAUUAUAAAUUUUACUUAGUGCUCACAGCAAGUACCAACUUAUGGCUUAGCUUGUGGUCACUUAUGAUCGUAAGCACCUUCUGUCGACCAGGGUGUAUUUUCGAGUUGUUACAAACUUGAUAUCAUAGACUAAGGUUUUACAGUGUCCUAUGGAGUUUGAAAGCCACAUUGAGUAGAGUCAUGUGCAUGGGUGUGAAGUGCGCCACACUUAUGGACGAGAGGCUACAAGACAUUUUAGGAAAUGUUUCCCUUCUUUCUUGUCCUAGAUUGUGCUAUUAAAAGGUUCUCUAAGAAACUCAUGCAGAUUCUCAUCAUGCUCUAUUAAUGUCAACUCUUCCAUAUUUUAAGGUAACAGAAACAGUGAAGCUUAAAUCCCUACAAAUAGAGUUUUCUCAGACAGUCCCGUAGACCGUUAUGGGAUUGGAUGUAGGCUCAAAAGUAUCCCAUUAGUGCUUUUAAGUUCUAAAGUUUGAAAAAUUUCAUUCAUUAUUGUGAAAAAUCAUGCACUAAGACAAAGUCAGAUGUGCCCUCAGAUCCCUUCUCAGAAUCCUAUGAUAGCAUAUCAUCUAGAGUUAGAAGUAUGAACCCAGAAGUUUAGCCUCAGUAAAGUGAGGAUAGUGUUAUCUCAAUUAAGUAGAUUAUGUAUUCAUGGGGCUAGUUGUAUGAAGGUAAAUCAGUAGGCUUAAAGUAGUGCAUGCAGGAAUUUAAGUUUAUUGAUUGGAAAUUAAGCAUGAUGGUGUGGGUGUGAUUCAGAGGUGCGCCUAAAGUGAUAUGAGAUUGUACUAUUUAUAAGUUUUUAAAGUAUGUUUGCUUAGAUAGUACCCUUGAGUUUAUAAGUUUGAAUGAGUCUAUAAUAUAAUAUGUGAUGUUCUUACCAGCUAAGUUAUAGGCUAUAGGUUGCUGAUGUUGGGUAAGUUGGUGAAAUGGUAAUUCUUAUGGUUUAGAGAAAGAUAUAAGUUUAGAGAUGUGAUAUUAGUAGGCUAUAAAGGAAGUUAGUAUGGUUCAUUAAGAGUUUGACAAUAUCCAUGUUAAGUGUUAGAAGCUAAGCUUGAAAAUUCUAAGUUAGUCAAUGUUUAACUUAUUGCAUGAUGAUUGUUAGGGCGAUAGAAAAACAAAAAUUGUAUAUCAGAAGGAAGUACCAGAAGUGGGUCUUAUAUUAUCAAUCAUAGUCUCUUAGGGUAAGUUAUCAUUUAUGUUUCUUAUUUUACCUCAGACUUUAGUAUGAAGCAGUGACAGUUCAGUUUAGAGCUUAUGCCCGUAGACUUAAAAUAAUGGCUUUAAGAUAGGGGGGAUGAUGGAACCAGUAACCAAGUCAGGCUCUCAGUUUUUAGUAGUAAUGCUAGGGUGCUGUAGAACAUCACUAGGCAGGGAGGUGCCCAACCCAUUCUGGUCUCAGUGCAAAGUUUUGUACUUUAGUCAUCACGAUAUCUACUCAUGUCUUACAUGUCAGCUCUAGGAUCAUUGCUAAUAGUUGUGCACCUUAUGAAAAAUCAUAUACUCUCCCAGUUCUUAGUAUGAAGAGUUCUAAUCCACUCAGUAGUAUGAAUCAUGUUCUAUGAAUUCAAGAACUCCAAACUUAAGUUAUGUAGCUUAUGACUCAUUUACUCAUGUUUUACUAUAUCUACAGUUCUAGUACUCAUGCGACACUCUUAAUGAUCAGCAAACUUCAGACUAUGCCAUCUAUAUCCUCAGUUUUGAUCUAUGUAAUAUAUCCAUAGUGUUGAUACUCUAUUCCUUAGGCUUAAGUAAAGUGUCGAGUCGUGCAUAGUAUCCUUUCACGUUCCAGGACGUCAUGUUCUACCCUUUCAGUGACUUUUUGUUAUGUCAAGCUAGCAAUGAUGAACAAUAGUUUAGAUAGGAAACAGUGAAUGUUUCUUGUUGACGAAAUAUUGUUGUAUGCUUGUUUUAUCUAAGGCUGUAAGUGGGAAGUAAGAUUAAGACCAAGUUUUUGAUGUAUGUCAUGGUUAGUUUAAAUUUUGUGUGUGUUUUCUUGGGUCAGUGCAUGGAAGUUAUUAAUAAUAUAGGUUUGGAGGAUAUGAGGAAGAUGCUUUAUGGGUGUUUGUUUGGAAGGGAAUAUGUGGUUAUGAAGAUAGUUUUGAAUGUCAUGUUUGCAUAUAUGUGGAUGAAUGCAUUGCACAUUAGUGAAUGUCUAGAAAGAGGUUGGAUAUAGUUGCUAAAGUGAUAAUAGGAAUUAUUCAUGAGAUAAAGUGUUGUGAAAAUUUAGGGUGUGUCAAAUUCAUGAUUCAGGCUAGUAUUAUAGUGUUAUAUGUGCACUUUAUAGAUUCGAGUAUGCUUGAAAAUAGUAAGAGAAUUCAGCUCAUCUUAGACUUUAGUAUGGAGAGUUAUCAGUGCCUAUGUGAAUAUUUUCAAUAGCCUCAAGUGAACUAUAGUUUUGAAGUGGAACGUAUAGUUGAGUAUAAGAUUUUAGUAUAAUUCAGUCCGUUUAGCCAGCAGUUCAGUUAGUAGUCAGACAGACAGGUUCCUAUGGUUUUUCCACCUUUCAAUCUAGUCUUACUAUCUAAUGAUUCAUGAAUAUAUCCAUUCCAAGAGAUAGUUUAUCCACAUCCAUGUAAAUUAUGAAUCUAAUUCAGUCCAUGCAUCAUGUUUCAGAUUCCAUAUAUUCAGUCAUGAUUCAGUUCAUAGGUGCCCCGUGCACCAUCUCAGUCUUUCCUUAGUAUUUCAGUCAAGUCAGUAUCAUUCGGGGGACGAACUAUCCCAAGGGGAGAUAUUAUAAUACCCAAGUUUAAAUAUACUAAACCUCUCAACCUUUCUCCACCAAACAAAAUCCAGCUUGAAUUAAUGGGUACUUAUAAGUUGGCUCUCUCAUUUUUAUCUCAGCCUUAUAACAAAUCAGCCAUGUAUCAUAUUUUAGACUCAGUCAUGUAAUCAUGUUUCCUGUUAUGCAUGUUAAGUAUAUGAUCUCAGUUCUCCUAGUAUUCUCAGCUAAUCAAUCUCAUUCGAGGAAAAAUAUUUUCAAGGGGGAGAUACUAUAAGACCCCGUAAGAUCCUAGCUCAAUUCCGUUCACCAUUGUAUGUUAAAAGGUUUCCAAGAGUUAGAAAAUUUCACUAAGUGUUAGGAAUUAGUCAUUUCUAAAGCCCCUAAACUUUGAUGAUUUUAUUUUUGACCUUCCCGACAUUGGAAAGUUAAUUUUUAAGUUGAUUCAUGAUUGGGGUUUUCAAUAGAACAUCUUAGGUGAGUUUUGGAAUUUUUGAACGAACGUAAGGAAACAUUUGGAGAUGCAAAAUAGUAGAACCCCCGGGAUAGGUCCAUGGCGAAGAGCUUAGACCACCGCUAUGGAUCCUCUGGUGCGGGGCUUAGCCCACCAGUCUGAAGCCCACGGCACCCAACUUAUCACCUGCCUUUCUUAUUUUCCAACUUCUAUUUUCAUUUUUUCAAGGGCAAUUGGGUCUUUUCCCUUCACUCAUUUAGUCUAUAACACGGGAUUUGGGGUCCCAAAAGCAUAAUUUGCUAUCUUAUUCACAAAAUUCUCUCAAAAGAAAGCAUCCUUUCUCAAGAACAAACCCUAUACUCUUCAAAAGAAACAAGGGAUUCAAGCUUAAUUCUAAAGAAAAUCAUCAAGAACCUUCACAAAUUCAUCAAUUAAGGUUUCUGUGAUGUUUAUCCAUGGGCCCUUUUCAUCCAUGGAGUCCAAGAAUCCAUUUUAAGAUUUAAAUUAUGGUUCUACAUGUUACUAUGAAUUAUCUCCAUCAAACUCUUAUGAAUUUCAAUCAUGUAUUAUGUUUCCAAGAGUUUUUGAUAGAAAGAGCAUUUACACAUUUGAAAGCUCAAAUAUGUUCCUCAAUAUCUUGAUAAUUUGAUUUCAAGUCAUGAUUACAAUCAUUUUCACACAGAAUGGAUUAUAGUAUGUUUUAAAUGUUGUAGUUUUCGUAACAUGUUCAUGUGAUUCAAAAUAAAUUCUUAGUUUAUGAUUUUGUUAUGUGAUCGUGCUAUCUCACCAUGUUUAAAAGCAUCCCCAUGUUAAAGUAUUAAUCUCCAUGAGUUUGAUAAAAUGCCAAAGUGAUGGUUCUUAACUAAUGAUUCCCUAUUACGGUUGUCAAAGCUUUCAUAUAUCCUUAUUGAUAUUUUCAUUGAGUCAUGAAGGGUUAUAAACACCUGUUAGUUAACUGUUUAUAGAAUUUCAGUAGUUUUAGAAUGGAUUUGACUAAACCAAUAGCAUUAUCAUUCAGUAGCUAUCAUGAUCAGUUCCUUGUUUAGUUAAAUGUAGUUUAGUCCCAUAAUUAGUGUCAGUUUAGUUGAGAGUAGUAUUCAGCACCAAGCGAACCUUGGGAUGGGGGCUCACCCGCUAGUUUGGACUGGGUCCAUUAUAGCAAUCCCUGACUUACAGAACUACGUAGCCAGUGUAUUUUUGAGAUGUCUUCCUAUUAGUUUAAGGUUGGCAUAUAUCUCAUGAGUCUUCCUAUUAGUUUAGGGUUGACAAGAUAUCUUCCUGCUAGUUUAGGGUUGACACAACCAUUGUUAGUACCCCUGGCACGGUACUAAUACCCUUCUAACUAGGGUCAUAGGUUGGAUCCCAAUUAGCUCAAUUGGGUCAUGUCGGUUAGAUGAUACCUCUCACAGUUUCAGUUUCAGUAUUCAGUACAAAAUUCAGUGAGUUUGUUUGACCAUGGCAUACAAUUUAUCAGUAUUUAGUUAGCAGAUUUUAGUAUUUCAGUUUCAUAGAUUAUUUCAGAUAUAUUAUAUGCUUGGUCUUGCAUUCUCAGUAUUUUAUUUUCUCAUGUACUUAUAUUCAGUUACCUCAUGUCGUUUAGUUAGUUACUAUCUUAUGCGCAUGGACCCAUGCAUUUCAGCCAAACCUCAUCUCAUAGACCAGUACAUUCAAAGUACUAACCGCAUACUCAUUUUUUGUGCUAUAAUAUUUAAUGUCAUAGGUUCAGAUGCACAGGUUCCUGAUCGCUCUUAGACAGUUCAUCUUAUCAGCAGUAGUAGUGGUGUGUGAUUAUGUUUCGAGGAUCUAUUAUGUUUAUUUUAAUAUUUCCUUUAGUUAGUCAGUCAAAGUUAGCUGGGGGCUUUUCUCAUCAACUCCUCAGUCAGUUUAGAGGCUUUCAGACACUUCAGACAGUCAGUUAGUUUUGUUAGUCCUUUAGUUAGAUUUUCGUUAUUAUUCGCAUAUGUUUCAAACUUGUGGAUUUAGUUGUAGUAUUUUCAGUAUUUAAAACCUCAUGCGUAUAAAGUUGAUUUCCGUGCAUGUCUUUUAUAAUAUGUUUUACUUAGUGCUGUCAGCAAGUACUAGAUUAUGGGUUAGCUUGUGGUCACUUAUGUUCGUAGAACCAUGUGGCGAUCAGGGUGUAUUUACAAGUCGUUACACAUUGCUUGCAAGCUAUAGUCGGUAUGACGAUACCACUUCACAAUGCCCUGAUAAUGAAAUCCUUGAAUUGGUGGUUUGGUUAUGCGUUGAAUGUUUUAAUUGGGCAAUAAUGGAGGGUUGUGAUAGAUAACCGUAAAGGUGUGACUUCGAUGGACUGACACUGGAAACUCAUUUUUGCCGACAUGAGGGUUGGUCUUAUUGAUCAUAUACUUGUGAAGUACAUGGGAUUCCCGCAAGUUUAUACUUGUAUAUAUUAUCAUGGAGGGUAAAGGGUAUACAAGAAUCCCCAGCCCCUAUGAUAUCUUCGGUUCGUGCGGAUAAAUGCACUGAGGCCCAUUCAGGGGGUAAAAAUAGACCCAUAUAGCCCGUGGGUGGAUUAUGACGGUAAAGCUACACAACCCAGGUUAAGAUUUUAAAUGCAUGCUAAACUCGGUUCCCUAUCCCGACAUGAUAUAUAUAUAUAUAUAUCUACGUGAUUUGUUAUGGUUAUUUACUUUGAUUUUGGAAUUAAUGACAUUAUUUUAUAUUAUCCCUGAGUACGUGCUAAAGUUCACUCUGUGAACCUUCUUCGGGCGUUGUAUCUCCUUGUGAUGCAGGAAUUGACCAUACUGCCAUUCCUUAAUGACUUGGAUUCGGAGACAGUUUUGAGUCAGACUAAAGUGGCGACCUUUCAUACUAUGGAAGGAUUUAUUUCAUGCUAUGAACUUCUUUUAUUUUUAUUAUUUCUUUGAUUUGGUUUUACCUUUGAUCGGGGGCAUGUUCCGUUCGGAUGUUGUUGAAUUUGGUUAGAGGCUUUGUUAAAUAACUAUGAGCAUGAGCGGUGUUGGUAUUGAUUUCAGCGUUGGUAUUGAUAUUGGCAUUGGCAUUGGGGCUAUUACCGGUUGGAUAUUUU
rnacentral:lncRNA from 1 species